rnacentral:ncRNA from 12 species
CCUUCGAUAGCUCAGUUGGUAGAGCGGUGGACUGUAGAAUGUCAAAUUAAUGCGGAUAUCCAUAGGUCGCUGGUUCAAAUCCGGCUCGAAGGA